UAGGGAAUCUUCGGCAAUGGACGAAAGUCUGACCGAGCAACGCCGCGUGAGUGAAGAAGGUUUUCGGAUCGUAAAACUCUGUUGUUAGAGAAGAACAAGGACGUUAGUAACUGAACGUCCCCUGACGGUAUCUAACCAGAAAGCCACGGCUAACUACGUGCCAGCAGCCGCGGUAAUACGUAGGUGGCAAGCGUUGUCCGGAUUUAUUGGGCGUAAAGCGAGCGCAGGCGGUUUCUUAAGUCUGAUGUGAAAGCCCCCGGCUCAACCGGGGAGGGUCAUUGGAAACUGGGAGACUUGAGUGCAGAAGAGUGGAGUGGAAUUCCAUGUGUAGCGGUGAAAUGCGUAGAUAUGUGGAGGAACACCAGUGGCGAAGGCGGCUCUCUGGUCUGUAACUGACGCUGAGGCUCGAAAGCGUGGGGAGCAAACAGG
rnacentral:rRNA from 1 species